rnacentral:rRNA from 1 species
CAGUAGCCACGGUAAUACGUAGGUGGCAAGCGUUGUCCGGAAUUAUUGGGCGUAAAGGGCUCGCAGGCGGUUUCUUAAGUCUGAUGUGAAAGCCCCCGGCUCAACCUCGGAACUGCCUUUGAUACUGGAAGUCUUGAGUGUGGAAGAGGUAAGUGGAAUUGCGAGUGUAGAGGUGAAAUUCGUAGAUAUUGGGAAGAACACCGGUGGCGAAGGCGGCAGCCUGGUCCUUGACUGACGCUGAGGCGCGAAAGCGUGGGGAGCAAACAGGAUUAGAUACCCCGGUAGUCCCUGUCUCUUAUAA